UACGUAGGGCGCAAGCGUUGUCCGGAAUUAUUGGGCGUAAAGAGCUCGUAGGCGGCCUGUUGCGUCCGCUGUGAAAUCCCGGGGCUCAACCCCGGGCGUGCAGUGGAUACGGGCUGGCUGGAGGCAGGCAGGGGAGAACGGAAGUUCCUGGUGUAGCGGUGAAAUGCGCAGAGUAUCAGGAGGAACACCGGUGGCGAAGGCGGUUCUCUGGGCCUGUACUGACGCUGAGGAGCGAAAGCGUGGGGAGCGAACAGG
rnacentral:rRNA from 1 species